UUUUUUUUUCUUCCUCUCUUCUGGUUUGUUGCCAAUUCUGCUCUGCCUGUUCCCCAGCAUCUACUGAUGAGCACCUCUCAGAAAAAAAGGCAUGGCAAACAUUCAGACAAACCCUCUCCAAUGUAAAAGUAACAAAAAUAUCUACCCAAGGAGAAAUAAGAUAGUAAGUACUUUCUCUAAAAUGUACUAUCUUUUACAAAUAUACUACAGGGUUGCAGCAGAAAUGAUUGAAAAAGAGAUUAUUUAACUUUCUGAAGAAUGGUGAUUUGAAUAUCUUAUAUGAUUCUAGGAAGGAGGAAUAAAAGUUCAACUUCCAGGUUAUUUUAGGCAGAGAAAAGGUAUCAUUGACCUGAUGAAAAUCAGCUAAUACGUACAUUUGUGGGGAGGGAGGGUAGCAGGAAGCAAAGCAGGUGGGGAAAGGUAAGUCAGAAAUACGAUACUCCUCUGAAAGCCUCCAAAAGAGCCCCUGUGUAGGGUGCUGAAGAAGGGAGAUUGGAAUGUCUCCUUAACACUGUUAUCUCCUAAGGACAGCAGCAUCUCCUAAAGAACAUCAUGCUGGAGACCCCUGAGCUCAGAAAGCAAAGGAGGAGGGAAGAGCAGCUCGCUUUUAUCUUGUUUAACUUGGCUACCUGAAUGGUAAACCUUUUUUCUGACUUGGCAUGCUUUACAGAUAUCACACCUAGGUUACUGACCGCCCCGCUUGCGCCCUUUGGCUUUAUGGGGUUUUAAUUUCGGGAGGGCUUGAGGUGUUUCUUUUGCCCUUACUGAGGGCUUUUGGUGUGAAACUUUCUGUUUAGAAAUGAAUUCAAGUUACAAAAAUAGUUACUUAAAA